rnacentral:lncRNA from 1 species
AAAAAUGUACUUGAUGUUGAUCAAGCAUAUUUGAUUUUAUUAUUUUUGAAAGGUUAAUUUUAAUAGUCAUUUUGUCUUUUUGGAUUAACAAUUAUGCAUCAACUAAAAAUACAAUAAAAUAAACUAAAAAAUAAAGCAAUAAAAAGAUGAAAGAAAUGAUAAAAGAGAGGGGGGCACACUAUCAACACAAGAGGUAAAAGAAUUUUAAAAACUAAAGGAAAUAAAAGAAAGAAUAAAAAUAAAUAGUUAAAUCAAUAAUAAAAAAGUAA